ACUGGAACUGAGACACGGUCCAGACUCCUACGGGGGGCAGCAGUGAGGAAUAUUGGUCAAUGGGCGCAAGCCUGAACCAGCCAAGUCGCGUGAGGGAAGACGGCCCUACGGGUUGUAAACCUCUUUUGCCGGGGAGCAAGCCUGAGCACGUGUGCCCAGGCGGAGAGUACCCGGAGAAAAAGCAUCGGCUAACUCCGUGCCAGCAGCCGCGGUAAUACGGAGGAUGCGAGCGUUAUCCGGAUUUAUUGAGUUUAAAGGGUGCGCAGGCGGGCUGUUAAGCCGGCGGUAAAAAUUCAGGGCUCAACCCUGUCGAGCCGUCGGAACUGGCAGUCUUGAGUGGGCGAGAAGUAUGCGGAAUGCGUGGUGUAGCGGUGAAAUGCAUAGAUAUCACGCAGAACGCCGAUUGCGAAGGCAGCAUACCGGCGCCCAACUGACGCUGAGGCACGAAAGCGUGGGGAUCGAACAGGAUUAGAUACCCUGGUAGUCCACGCAGUAAACGAUGAGCGCUAACUGUCCGGAGCGAGCGAGCUCUGG
rnacentral:rRNA from 1 species